AUGGCUGUGAGCUGCAGACUGUAGAUAAAACAUAGUUGUACCAAUUACAAGCAAAAGAGAGGGGGAGAAAUCAUUCUUGAUUAUAUAUCACUCUUAGCUCUUAGCAUUCAACAGAUUUCAGAAAUGGAAAUUGGGUUAGCAGUUGGUGGUGCAUUUCUCUCUUCAGCUUUGAAUGUUCUCUUUGAUAGGCUUGCUCCUCACGGUGAUCUUCUCAACAUGUUUCAGAAUCAUACGAAUGAUGUUCGGAUCUUUAAGAAGCUGAGAGCGACUUCGGAUGGUCUUAAGAUUGUGCUAAGUGAUGCAGAGAAUAAGCAAGCAUCAAAUCCAUCGGUGAGCGAGUGGCUUGAUGAGCUUCGAGAUGGUGUGCACUCUGCUGAAAACUUAAUGAGAAGUUAAUUAUGAAGCUUUGAGGCUUAAGGUGGAAGGCCAGCAUCAAAAUCUUGCAGAAACAAGCGACCAGCAAGUAAUUUGAUAUUUUGAUAAUUUGAUUGAUUCAGGAUGAACGUCGAUCGUAUGAUUACAUGGAUUCACAACCAGAUAUCAACGUCAGGGUCAGAGCUAGAAAAUUUUCUGGAAGGCUGAACUACUUGAAAAAAAUGAAAGUUACAUUACUGCACACAGAUGCGAGAUCAAGAGAAACUUUUUAGAUCUGUUGUCGAUAUUCUUAGCAGUGUAACUCAUGUGCACAUUCUACAGCAAAAAGUACAGUAAGUAGAAGAACUCAAUUUUUAGCAAUGAAAUGGCACCAUUUUCUCACACUCAAAAUGAUCUUAAAUUUCAUGAAUGAAACAAUCAUAUAUUACUUAGCUUGAAGCCCCAUUUUCUUCCUCGUUUUCCCAACGUAUAAAUCCUUAGACUUGCUCAUCUCGGGGACUAAUCCAAUGAUCGUCGUGAA